rnacentral:rRNA from 1 species
CCCAUAGAGGGUGCCAGGCCCGUAGUGACCGCUGCUGAUCGCGGGAGGGUCUCUCCUCAGAGUCGGGUUGCUUGAGAGUGCAGCCCUAAGUGGGUGGUAAACUCCAUCUAAGGCUAAAUAUGACCACGAGACCGAUAGCGAACAAGUACCGUGAGGGAAAGUUGAAAAGCACUUUGAAGAGAGAGUUCAAGAGUACGUGAAACCGUUUAGGGGUAAACCUGAGAAACCCGAAAGGUCGAAGGGAGAAAUUCAUUCGCGUUUCGUCGUUAGCGGUGAGACGAUCGUGUGACGGAGAACGCGUUCGCGUGUUUUCCGCACCUUUUGUUUUUCGAUCUGAUGACGAACGCGUGCACUUUUCUCCUGGAAGGACGUCGCGAUCCGAUGGCUGUCGGUCUACGGCUCGCGGUGGAGCCCGAACGUACGGCUUGCCGUCUCGUUCGGACCCGUGUGUCCCGGCUGACUCGCUCGACGGUAUACGAAAAGUUUAAGGCCGCUCUUCUUUGAGCGUUCGGGUUGCGGGAAGCGCGUCAGAUGUAUGUCGGCGAUCGGACCUAGUGCCGGUUCUGACCUCUGGCGACUGUUGCUGCAAAGUUCUCGAACAGACUUUGACCGAUCUGCGACGCUAUAGCUUUGGGUACUUUCAGGACCCGUCUUGAAACACGGACCAAG